rnacentral:rRNA from 1 species
ACGAACGCUGGCGGCGUGCUUAACACAUGCAAGUCGAACGGAAAGGCCCUGCUUUUGUGGGGUGCUCGAGUGGCGAACGGGUGAGUAACACGUGAGUAACCUGCCCUUGACUUUGGGAUAACUUCAGGAAACUGGGGCUAAUACCGGAUAGGAGCUCCUGCUGCAUGGUGGGGGUUGGAAAGUUUCGGCGGUUGGGGAUGGACUCGCGGCUUAUCAGCUUGUUGGUGGGGUAGUGGCUUACCAAGGCUUUGACGGGUAGCCGGCCUGAGAGGGUGACCGUCCACAUUGGGGCUGAGAGACGGCCCAGACUCCUAUGGGAGGCAGGAGUGGGGAAUAUUGCACAAUGGGCGGAAGCCUGAUGGAGCAACGCCGCGUGCGGGAGGACGGCCUUCGGGUGGUAAACAGCUUUCGCCUGUGACGAAGCGUGAGUGACGGUAAUGGGUAAAGAAGCACCGGCUAACUACGG